rnacentral:rRNA from 1 species
CACCGCCGCGGGAAUACAGAGGGUGCGAGCGUUAAUCGGAUUUACUGGGCGUAAAGCGUGCGUAGGCGGCUUCUUAAGUCGGAUGUGAAAUCCCUGAGCUUAACUUAGGAAUUGCAUUCGAUACUGGGAAGCUAGAGUAUGGGAGAGGAUGGUAGAAUUCCAGGUGUAGCGGUGAAAUGCGUAGAGAUCUGGAGGAAUACCGAUGGCGAAGGCAGCCAUCUGGCCUAAUACUGACGCUGAGGUACGAAAGCAUGGGGAGCAAACAGGAUUAGAUACCCCUGUAGUCCCUGUCUCUUAUACA